CUGGAUGUGAGGCUUCUGUACCUUCUUUUUCGUUUUCCUUUUUUGCUUCCCACCUCCCAUUAUAUUAAGAUACAGAGCUAGCUCAAAAUUUGGUUUAUCUAUCUGUCUCCUUUUCCUCUGAAGAUACUGAGGAAAAAAGCAAGCAAAUGAUUGGUUUAAUAUUAGUUCUAAUUGAUUGAUCCCGUAGCAUGUACCACUUAUGAUGUAUUAUACUCCAUAUUUCUUACAAAAUUGUGAGCUGCAAUUUGCAUUGUUUUGUGCUUGGAUAUAAAUAUUUAUUUCAGCAUAAAUUUAUACAACACGUGAUUGGAGCUAGGAUGGUUCCACCCUAUUUAUUGACAAAAAAACAAGCUAGGACAAAAUAGAGGCGCGCGACCUACAUUUAUCCCUUACCAUUUACACCACUUGCAUGUAAGUAUCUGAUUGCAAGGAUGUUAGUUAAGAAGAUACAAAUGGCUACUGAGGAGUUCUAUUUGUGUGUAUAUUAUUUGCCAUUCCGUGACAACGCACGGACAUCCAGCUAGU
rnacentral:rRNA from 1 species